CUCCACGCGCUACAAACACGCUGUUUCCGUCGCUGAUUUUGUCACAUUUUCUGGUGUUUUAGCUACAAUAUUGUGGUAAUUACUAUUUGUGAACUUAUUCAAUAACGUUAAAAUAAACAUAAUUUUGAUGUAGUUCUUAAACGUUUUUACUUCGAAUUCUAUUGUUUUCUUACCGAAUUUUCACUGUAACCACAGGAAACAAAUAUAUAAUAUUAGGCUGUAUGUUAUUGUAAUUAAAAGUGUAAUUUUAAUUUUGACUUGUUUAUGUCAGUACUAUUGUCAUUCAGUGAUAUAGCUACGGGAGUAGAAAAAACAUUAGUAAGGAUUCUGUAUGGUCUGAGGAGGUCCGUGGGUGGGGGUGUGGCACCAUGAGUUACCCCACUGGGUGACACCAACCCUAGUCUAGUGACGCCAGUGACUGGUUGAAAGAGGGGCAGCAGUGUGUUACCUCAUUCGAGCUGAACACCAUCACCGUCCCGUUCGACGGCGGCCCCUUCACCUGACUCGUUCGUAACCCAUUAUAAAGGAGACGCCCAUAAGAGGUGGCCAGCUGUUCGCAGACGUUCGGGAACCUUUUCAGCGCAGAUUCAUGAUUAUUACACUCUUCCCUUCGUAACUACCGCUCUUUCCAAACAAAGAGAGGCGAUGGAAAAAGUUCGCUUCUACGCUCUUUGGUCUCUUCGCGAUGUUCCUCGAGAGUUCAUCGGGUAAGCGAGCCGCGUCGCGUUUCCCGCGUUUUUUCCCGUCGCAGCAUUCCCGUGGCGUUUAAGUGGCUAAAAUUGACCGACGCGCAGUGUAAAUAUAUUACAAAGUGGUCGCUACGCACGAAUGAACAAUAUGUGACACAUUGUAGUGCUGUACGCGGACAGCAAAUCUCAUAAAACGUUUAACAAUUAUUUGGCUCGCGCCGCCGCAUCACCCCCGAUCGUGUCCUUCCGCAGCAGGUCCGGCCGCCCGUGUUACCAGACUCAGCUGCAGUUGCCACUGCAGCUCCCGCUGCCCGAGCACCUGCUGGUCUUCGGCGUGGGCAACUGGAAAUAUCCCUCCGCGCCCGCGAGCGUCACCGUGGCCGUAUCCGUGAGCCGCGAGCUGCAGCCGCAGGUCAUCGGGAGCCUCUCGCCUCAGGCCAGGUGCCUCAUGUGGGAUGGAGACUGGAGAGUGGACCUGCAGUCAGCGGCCAUGGAGAAAGCAGAGCGAGGGGUCUGCGGGAAGAUCGUCCUCAGCGUCUGUGGUGGGGUAGGGUGGGCAGUCGCUUGGUAAACGGGUGCCUAAACGGCGAACGCGCUGGUAUGCGGAUCAAACCGCCAGCUUUAUUGCCCUCAGACGCCAUCGUGGGGCAGCAGGUAGUCCUGAUUGGAGCUGAAGGUCCUUGGUUUCGAUCCUCCUCCUUCUCCUUCACCGCUACAUUCACCCUGAUUUGAUGCAUUUGUGCAGCUGCUUUCUCACUUACUACAGCAAUUAUAGUAUGCUAUUUACUUGACACCUUCAUCUGGUGACUUAUAAUGCUGGAUACACUGCACUAAACCACCCAUGGCCAUGUACUCAUCUGUACAGCAGAGUAAUGUAACACACACAAUGGAUAGUUUAGUUACCAAUUCACCUGAAGCAUAUGUCUCCUAGCAUGUGGACUGUGCUGGGAAACCAGAGCACCUAGAGGGGAACCUAUGCAAAAAAAAAAAAAAAAGGAGAACUUGCAGACUCGACACAGGCUGAACAGGGAUCGAACCCAUGUCCAGGCCCACAGCCCAAGUGCUGUGAGGUAGUCGUGAUUACGGCUGUGCCACCCCACUCGAUGGCAGUGUGAUUUGUGGGUGCUUAAUCUCUUUGCUGAUACAGUAAGAACAUCCUGCAGUAUAAAUGGGUAAAUCAUUGUAAAAUGUUGCUCAUCUCACUUCUUGGACAAAGGCAUUAGCUACUAAAGUUUUAUAACUUGAAUCAAUGGAAGGUUUUUAUUCCAAAACAUGUGAGGAUGGGUAUUGGUGUGAAUGGUUUCUCACUCUUCACACAGGUGCAGCCAUCGCUUAUUGGCAGCACUCCAAGUCCUGCAUCCUCAGGAAAACGGCUCACUCCUGACUGGAGGUCCGGGGAACAGGUGGAC
rnacentral:lncRNA from 1 species